GACGAACGCUGGCGGCGUGCUUAACACAUGCAAGUCGAACGGAAAGGCCCUGCUUUUGUGGGGUGCUCGAGUGGCGAACGGGUGAGUAACACGUGAGUAACCUGCCCUUGACUUUGGGAUAACUUCAGGAAACUGGGGCUAAUACAGGGUAGGAGCUCCUGCUGCAUGGUGGGGGUUGGAAAGUUUCGGCGGUUGGGGAUGGAUUCGCGGCUUAUCAGCUUGUUGGGGGGGUAGUGGCUUACCAAGGCUUUGAGGGGUAGCCGGCCUGAGAGGGUGACCGGCCACAAUGGGACUGAGAGACGGCGCAGACGCCUACGGGAGGCAGCAGUGGGGAAUAUGGCACAGUGGGCGGAAGCCUGAUGUAGCAACGCCGCGUGCGGGAUGACGGCCUUCGGGUGGUAAACCGCUUUCGCCGGUGACGAAGCGUGAGUGACGGUAAUGGGUAAAGAAGCACCGGCUAACUACGUG
rnacentral:rRNA from 1 species